ensembl:lncRNA
CUAAUUCAGAAACCAGGGGAGGGAGCUACUUACUUCCUGGAUGUGAAUAAAGCUCCAUUCAUUUAAUGGAGUUGCACUAAUUCACCUCCUCCAAGGAUUUGCUCCUGUUCUCAGAAAUAUCAGCUCACAGUAGUGGGUGCUCUGGCAUGGAGUUAGGGAUGCCUGAAUAUUGUCCCAGCUAUUAAGUGAUGAUAUUAAAAAUAAAAACAAGAUCAUCUUGAACAGUUAAGCCAUGAUUUUAGCGUUAUUCAGUGCAUGCAAUCUGCGAGAUAAUAAUUGGUUUAUUAAAAAUAUACUAGAACUGGAUAUUGCAAGUGCUGAUACAGUCUGUGUUGUGUCAGCCUGAUGACAUCUAAGUGGGUAAUUCACUUUGUGUCUUGUCAAUCCACAGACAGCCUGCUGCUAUAGAGCUCUAAAAUUGAUCCGUUUAACUUUAUCAUUAUCUUAAGAAAGAACUUGAGGAGCUGAAUGAAGUGCUGUGAACUCCAUGUCUCCAUCCAUCAUCUUGUCCUCAGGACCUCGCCGUCUUGCUUUCUUGGAAUUGGCUCCUGUUCAGAAAGAGAUUAAGCAGCAAGUCUUCAAAAGCAAGAUAAAAAGCAGAACUAUGGGCCGUGCUUGGCUGUAUUCAGCAGCUUCUACCUCCCUUCUUGUGGAGCAAGGAGGAGCAGCUGGAGAAGCUGGGCUCUGCAUGAACAAGGCAUGAGGUAGAAGAAAUCACAGAGUUGGAGAGAACAGCAUGCACUGGCAUGCAUUCAGUUACAGCCGUGUGAACAAGCGGAUGUGGUUCAGGGGAAACAUGGGGAAGAUUUCAGCCAAGAUUCCUCCUCAGACACAGAGAUCAAUUUAACUGAUGGCUCCUUUCUUGGAAUCACCAUGCAUCAAACAUCUGAACUGCAAACAGUUUUAUCUCCGAAACAGAGCCUGGGACAGCCCGAGCUGCACACAUAGGCACAACGGCUGUGAGGAGGACACGUUCCAAAUUACAUACGUUAAAAAAAUCAGACGGAACGCCGUAUUUCAAGGCUGCUCAGGAAACCGAAUUCCCUCCUUUCAGCAUUGUACGGCCAGUUCUGCUGCACAGGGGCAGCACUCCUGGAGGUCCGAGGUGGAUCUGGAGCUGGCAUCCCAACUCAAAGGGCAGCUUGGAAGAGACGGGCUUCUACGAGGAGUCCCUUGCUCUGUGGGGGCCACGCAUGGGAGCUGUAGUCUCUGGCAUAGACAAUAGCCGUGUGAAUCAGCAGGACUUCACCGAUCUAUACUGAAGAGUUUGGAGUUGCUGAAGCAUGGGAACUGGUGGCUGUGGAGCAGCUCAUUAUACGCUCAUUUUAAUUCCAUCCUUGCAGGAUUGCCAACCACCAGACCAGGCUACCCAGAGCCACAUCCAGCCUGGCCUUGAAUACAUCCAAGGAUGGAGCGUCACCACCCUCUGGAGUCCAUGCUGGAAGGAGAAAGUGGCAGCAGAGGAUAAUGGUGCAGUCAGUACUGGCACAGUGUCACGCCUCGAGCUGAAGAGGGGAAAAUGGGAAAUAAUUUUGAUGUAGUAAUAAAUAUCUGUGGCAUGAAAACCUCAGAAAGUAUUUUCAACUGGAGCAGAUGUGCUUGGGACAGAUGGCUAAUGGUCAGCAGAGCCUUUGGGCUCAAGAGGAAAGUUGAUUCUAUCCUAAUUUUUUUUUUCCGGGCAAAGGAAAACAUGACAGUGUUUCACCAUUAGCAGUUAUGGAAACUGCAGCUACGGGGGGGCAGUUAGAUCCACAUAAAUGGAAUCAUAAGGCCAAGUGCUGGUACUAGCAAGUACCCCUGCAAUGAAAGGUUGCUCCCAUUGCUGCACAGUGUCGUCCCCUGCAAUGGGCUGGCGAUGAGCAGCACAGAAAUACCCAUCUCAAAAAGAGAGUUGGUUGGGUUAUUGCAACUUCUAGUUUUCCUCUCUGACAGUCCUCUGCAAGAGCUUAUUUUCAGUUUCAUGGUUAUGGUGAGAAACAUGGGGUGUUUUGAUUCCUAAUUUAGACUGUUUAUCCUGAGAGAUUCCAGGAUCUUCAUUUGAAAGAUAAAUUCAAACCUUGUUUUUCCUUUGCAGCGUGCAUUCCAUAACAAAAACAUUGCAUGCCAUACUCUGCUACAAGGGCUUGGAAGACCUUCGUAACCAUAAAUUUAGGAACUUGUGGAACAGAAUGGACUUUGGGAUGGAAACAAGCCAGCUGGCCUAUCUGGUCAGGUCCAUCCCUUCUGUUUGAAUUAACAGCUGGAUUUCACAGUGGGAGAAAUCCUGCAGUUCUUUCUCAGGCAAAUUUCUCACAGUUGGAUCUGCCUCCAACUAUUGUAAUAGGGUGGGAGGGAGCACAGCUUACUUUGUUAUUUUAUGUUAGCUCUCUGGGUAAAAAAAUUCCAAUGUGAGUUCUGUACAGCUUGGACCUACCCAGAUCUUUAAUUUAAUGACCUGAUGUGCAAUGUGAAGGACGUUCCCAGCAGAACAGAGACAGAGGAUAUGCAGUAGGCACUUUGUGCCUGGCAGUGCAAACAGCAGCCAUAUUCUGGAGAAAGAAGCUGGAUGCUGAGGCAGAAUAAGGAGGAAGGACCAUUUGUUGCUUGAAGGAUGCUGUCUUGGAGAUGAGUUGCUGACACAUUUUGGCAGACUGUGCAUGCAGAGAUGUUGGGUACAAAAUGCAAUGUUCAUUUUCACACGUGCUGUUUCAAUUCCAAAAGUAAUUGAACCAAAGUUAAAGGAUUUACAAAGAUUUGCACAUAGCCCAAGAAAGUGAGUCUUUGGAAGUCAAGUUGCUGCAGAGUAACCCGCCGUAGUUCCAUCAAAAUCUUUGAUUUAUCAUGGGAAGCCUUCCUUUAAAUGGAUAAAUAAAUACCUGGGGUCACUCAGUGAGGCUGAACUUAGCUUGUCCCCAGACAGAACCCUCUCACCUUUCCCUUUGCAAAGCUAUUUAUGACCCUACAAGCACAGGACAAGAGGCUUGCUUUCCCCUUCCAGGCAGCUCCAGCCUUGGGACAGCCAGCAUCAGCCCCCAAGGGAAGAGCAUCUUUUAGGGUUAAAAAUCCAAGGCUCCUGAGUUUCUGUUUGCAGCUAAGAAGACCCCUG